rnacentral:tRNA from 1 species
GCACCCUUAGCUCAGCUGGAUAGAGCGUCGCCCUCCGGAGGCGAAGGCCGCAGGUUCGAAUCCUGCAGGGUGCGCCA